UGCUGCUCAACAUUACCAGAGCCUGCAAUCUGUGGGAUCAGUCGAAUAUGGGUAUUCAGCAUGAUGUGUCAGAAGAAAAUUGCUUCUCGCAUGAUUGAAUGCCUAAGGAGUAACUUUAUAUAUGCCUCAUAUUUGAGUAAAGAAGAAAUUGCUUUCUCAGAUCCCACUCCUGAUGGAAAACUGUUUGCAACAGAGUACUGUGGCACUGGUCAGUUUCUGGUGUAUAAUUUUAUAAAUUGACAGAAUAGC
rnacentral:lncRNA from 1 species